AUUACCCUACGGGGGGCAGCAGUGAGGAAUAUUGGUCAAUGGGCGCAAGCCUGAACCAGCCAAGUCGCGUGAGGGAUGACGGUCCUAUGGAUUGUAAACCUCUUUUGUCGGGGAGCAAGGCCCGCCACGUGUGGCGGGAAGGAGAGUACCCGAAGAAAAAGCAUCGGCUAACUCCGUGCCAGCGGCCGCGGGAAUACGGAGGAUGCGAGCGUUAUCCGGAUUUAUUGGGGUUAAAGGGUGCGUAGGCGGAAGGUUAAGUUAGCGGUCAAAUGUCGGUGCUCA
rnacentral:rRNA from 1 species